CAAGGGCAUUGUAUAAAAUCAUCACUGUCUCUAGGCUUUCUUAAAAAACUGCUUGGGACUCUCCUCUGUGGAGGGAAUGCCUUUCCCUACUCUGGAGGCGGGGCAGCCAUGGGCAGGGGCAGGGGGCUGCAGAUAGCACAGGCAUUUCAGAGAAUAAUCACAUCAAAAACAAAGUUCACCUGCCUGGAAUCUCUGAACUGUAUCUUUUAGUCUGAGAAGGAGUGUGGCUUCAGUUCUUUCUUCUACAGGCCCCUUUGCUGUGAGUUUCUUAAAGGAAGAUCAUGGGAAAUCAGGCUAGUGAGAAUAAAGAUGGGUUUCUGAAAGCAGCUUUCUGCUAGAUGUGCAAUAGACGUUUUUAGCCAGCUAAAUGGCAUUGUGUCAUGUCUUUUUGACUCACUUCCAUUGCUCUUUGUCACCUUUCCCUUUUCAGCAUUGGUUGUGUCCCCAAGCACUUGCAUCCACUCUUGCUGGAUCAGGGGAGUCAGAAUCUCUGAGCCCUGGCAGGUCUGAGGCUGCGAAGUCUCAGUACAGGUGGGAAGAGGUGCCAAGAAGGUGGGAAGGAGAAAAAAUUGCAGGUGAUCAUCACCUCUUUUGACUGGGACAGAAGACCAUGUAUGCAGUCAUGAAAACACCCAGUGUAAAACAUAAAAGGAAGGAGUAAUGGACAUAAAUAAUAGAAGCCAAUAGUCGAAGAUAGAAAACAUUGUAUUCAACAGAAUGCCAUUCAGAAGAGCUGUGUAUUUUUUCUGCGGAAGAAACACCUUGAAAACCCACUUAGAGUGGAAGACAAGAUCCCUAAGCUGAUCCAGAUUACCAAGAGAAGUAUCAAGAGUUACUUGAAAGAGUAACUCCAGAUUAUGAAGAAAAUGGUAUAGGCCAAUCGGCAGCUGGUGAUCCAUAUUUGGAUGAUGGUGAUGAUGAAAUGGACCCAGAGACAGAAGAAGCUUAUAACAAUUUGGUUUGGACUCAGAGCAUAAGUGAAAGCGAUAAAGCCAAAUUUCAGCAUAUCAGUUUUAUAAAGCAAUUUGGGUUAUGGUGAUUUGGCAGAACAUAGAAAAUGAAGAAAAUGUGUCACACUUAGACCAAAUUAAGGAUGUUGAGUUAUGUUACUGAUGUAUGCAAACUUUAAUGUUGCAUAACACUAUCUGCCAAAAGAAACUUUAUUCUCUAUAGCUUAAA